CUGUUUGCAGUAAGCUCCUAAGUUCCCCCUAGUGGUGGCUGUAUAUAUCUGUAUGCAUGUUGUAAGCUCCUGAGCUCCUCCCAGUGAUGGCUGUAUAUAUCAGUAUGCAGUAAGCUCCUGGACUCCCUCUAGUGGCACCAGCAGGCAGAC